GCCCCGUGGACCAGGAGAUGCUUGCAGGUUCCUGGGGUCGAUCCUAGCCAACAGGAAUGCAAACACCGGCGGUUAGUCCAGGGUGGACGGUCUGCCUGCGCCUUGGAACCAUCUCUCAAGCCAGGAGGCAUGAUCUACACGCUAGUGAGCUCGUAACUCAGACCGCUCACGUCCUCCGAGGCUGAGUUCACGGGAGCCGGGCCCAGACGGGGACGCGUGAGAGACACCUGCGGACUGAGGGCCCCUGCAGCAGCAGUGGGCCAAGGGGUCGCUGCCCAGCCUGCAUUCAGGGUGUGGUCCCUUUGGGGCCGUGGGCCCUCUCCUGGGCAAGGACUGCUGCUUCCUGAGUGCAUGCACCUCUCCGACAUCUCCGUGCCGUGCACGCUGAGCCCCGGGGCCGCGGGAGGGGUGGCUGACAGGCUGCCCGGGGCCUGCCCAGGACGGAAUGACCCAGGAUCCAGGCCGAGUGUGUGGCACCCCCUGAGCCUCGUGUUUCUUCUGACCACUGGCCAUGCCCCGCGCUUCCGUGGGACGGCCUGGAGAGCGCACACAUUGGCCUCUGAGCCCUGACCGGCCCCGAGCCCGCGGGCUGUUUGCGCACUCUGUGGUGGGAGAGCCGGCUCUGCGACCCCAGGAACGCAGCGUGGGGCUGUCCGUCCGUCCUGAGUUAUGUCCAAAGUCGAGGGGAGGUGGGAAUCCGAGGGAAGAAUGAUUUUGUAAAACGUUCACAGGUUCAAAGUGUUAGUUCUUGGCCCCCACGAGCUCUACUCUUGGGCUGUCAAUCCAGAGCACCACAGAGCCCAUGAGCGUGGAUUGAUGGCUCCACAUUGUCACAGCCACCCUGAGUCAAGGACCCCGAGCAGCCACGUGCCCAGAAAGCACUGCGGUCCCUGCUCUGCGCCCGCGGCUGGCAAGUGACACGGCACAGUCAUAUGUUGCUGCAUCGUUCACGCGGGGACAUUCGCUUGUUGGAAUUUUCUGUUUGACAGUCUGUCCUCUGUGGGUAGCCGCUGUUCUAGGGGCUUGUAAAUAAUGACAAGGCUGAGAUGUUCCAUGUGGAUUGGGCACAGUGAUUUCCACCUUGUUCCCAGAACUUGCUUGUUUGCUUCUGUUGGACACGCACAGACUGCUUAUACCUGUGUCCGGCUCCCGGCGGAGGCCCGUGCCUCAGGCUUAUGAAUGGUGUUGGUGUGACACGCCGUGCACACGUUUGCAUGCCGUGGCAGGUCCAGUAUCUCACCUACCUGGCUGGUCUCGUUUAAACCCCGUGACAGGCUGCAUUCGGCUCUGCGGGGUUGGCACAUUAGAAAAAAAGUUUCCAAAAGGUGUUUUGCUUCUAAAAAUUGUACAGAGAACAAAACUCAGACUUCUGCUCUGAGGCUGAAGGUAUAAAACCAGGGGAUUCUGGGCGGUAUUUUGGGGACCAGACUUCCCUUUGUCCAGGCUGGGUAGCUGGGGCUGGGGUGCAAGCUGCAUGUGGGGCCAGCUGGCCCCAUAUCUGACCCCAUUCCUGAGAAGACCGGCUGCGAGAGCCCUGACUCGCCAUACUUCUCACCCUUGAGCUGCUUUGUUUGCUGUUGUACUUUGCCUCCUUCCAGAAGGAUGCGCAGUGGUCCGUAAUAGCAGACACAGUUACCCAGAGACCACUGAAAUGGAAGUAGGGAGCUCAGACCCACAGAGGAGGACACACCGACGUCCCAAGGUUCUGAUUCCUGAGACUGACCUUGAAUGUUGCCUUCUCUUCGCAGUAAAGGGUAGCCCACAUUCGCCUAGGUUGCUUUCAUGUCCUCUUUGACCUUCCUCACGGUCCUAUGAGGUCGAUACUCUUCUUUUUCCCAUUUUCUAAGGGAGGAGGCAGAAGCUAAGAGAGGGUAAGCGACUUACCCGUAGUCACUCAGCAGCCACAGACCUGCCUUUACACCCAGGUCGUCUGACUUCAAAACCCCAUGUCCUUUCCAUCACCCGAGAGCCAGCGAAGCAGCUUAGGCCCCUGCGACAGUUGGAUUAGCACACACUUUUGGAGAAAAGGAGAUUUAAAGACACAGAGCUAUAGACAAAGUGCCUGGUUUCUGUUCCUUCUGUGCGGGCCUCAGCCUUGCUUCGCCGUGGCGGGUUCUUCCCUGAGGGGGUCCCCUGAAAGCUGGAAGAGCUGCAAGUGCACGAACACCCCAGCGCUCCCCUCCCACAAGCUGCGAACCCGAACCAUCUCUGCUGGUCUGGCGGGGGCUUGAGCCGGUUUUCGGGUCCUGUGAGAGCUAAUCACGAGCACAGGGGUGAACAGCUGCUGGAGCCGCGCCAGGUGCCAUGACCUCGCCCGGCCCACAACGACCCCACAAAGCAGCUGGGCGUUACCAACCAGGAGGCCAGGGAGGCUCGGGUGGGUGAGUCUGCCCCAGGGACCGAGCCAGACCAGGGCUCGGGGCUGCGCCUCAGUGGGGGAUGGUGACCACAGCUCUGAACCGAGGUGUCGGCCGUUGCUCCAGGCGCUCGCAUCUCGCGGCACCGUGGGGUCCACGUUAUCCGCGUUUAUAGACGAAGACGUUCUGGGACCUCAGAGACCCUCAGCGAGGGAGGGGCGGGCAGAGCUGGGGCCGGCAUCGAAGCCCCCAUGUGCCCCGCCCCGUAACGUUGCCUGCUGGGAUAUCUUCACCUGUCUGUUUGUCCCACAGUCGGGGGUGGGAGGGCAGAGCAGGGGACAGUGCCCUGGGUACAUCCCAAAGCGGCUCUCCCUGCCUGGCACGGCUCUGGGCACCGGGAGAGAGGUUCUCAGGGGCACAGGCGUCAGGGAAGGUGCCGUGGGGACCCGAUUCCCAUUUCCUUGGAGGGGCAGAGCCGUAGGCCUGGUUGUGCCCAAAGGGGCAGAGCAGGACUGGGGGGGUCACUUACUUUCCACGUCACUAAGUUGAGGUGGAUGAUGACACCCACUACACUGACCUGUUGGAUUAAAUGAGGUCAUAUUUGCAAAGAACCGGGAAGAGUGCCCUGCACGUGGGAAGUCAGGUAAGAGGUCCCCCCUCUGUGCGAGGUGGGUCCCCCUCGCUGUCCUCAUUGUGCCCUGUGCGCAUCCUGGUCCAGGGCCUCUGGAGGGCGGGGGGACGUCACCUGGACCAGCUGUCUGCCUGACGCCUCGUUCCGGCCACAGUAUCCUGACCCCUCUUUCCCGCGCUGUGCUCUCCAGCCUGUGCUGGCCACCCUCCAACGCUUGCCCCGCGCAGGCCCCGUGCAGAGCAUGCGACGCGCACGGUCUCACCUUAACCCCCACGACAAUAUCGCGAAGUAGGGGCUGUCACUGGUCCGGUUCAUAGUUCAAGUACUGAAGCUGGUGGAGGUUACGUGAGUGACAGUUACCAGUGACGCGUGGAGCCUCGACUCCAACCCACGUCUGUUUGUCCCCAGGACCUUGAGCCCUUUGCACUCCUGAAGGGGUGAUGCUGGACAGGGCCGGAGGAGGGAGAAAGGGAGGGACGCUGUCCCAGGAGCGUGGCCGGCACACCUGCCUUCUCCAUAGCCAGUAGCUAAGGGUACAUGACCCGACAUUCGGAAGGGUCUGCGCUACGGGGUCUUGUGCAAGCUUCCUGAUGUUUCUGAAACUGAGCUGUCCCGUCCGUAAGGUGGGGCAAGACUACCUCCCUUGCUAGUGUGGUUGCGAUCAUCAAAGUGAGUUAUGUGCAUAGGGCUUGUGCAGGGGGCUCAGCACACCUUGGUCCUCAGUGUCCAGCUUCCCUCCCCACCACAGACGUGAAGGGAGCCUUCCUGGAAUUGAACGCUAGCUGCCUGCUUCCCGCCCCCCAGUCCUGCGGCCGGCCGGCACGGGAUCCUGGGGAACAGGGCUCAGCCCUCUCGAGAUCUCCCCUGUGCUUCCUGUUUGUAGGCUUGGCCAUUGCACCGAUGUUGAAUGAAGUUACCGCUGUUGGGGCAGUUUUGUUCUCUCCCGAGAGAGGCGAGUGGAGCUGCUUUGACAACUGCACAGACCCCUCCUAACCCUUCCCGUUCCCGGGCUGGGGCUGCUCCUUUCCCAACUGUGCGCUGGUGAAGUGGUCCGGGUCUCAGGCAGCCUGGGCUGCGAGGCUCGGGCAGAGGGCUGCGGCCGCUGGGGUCACUGGGGCGCUCCCUGGCUUGGGUUUUGGCUGCCCCCACACCCAGGAGCCGGGCAGGGUAGCAGGCCCCCCGGGCUUUGCCCCACAUCGCCAUGGCCGUUUCUGCUCCUGUUCAGCUCUGCUCAGAUAGCUCCGGGCCCCCCAGGAGUGUCUUCCUGUGCUGAACCUGACCCCUCGGCCACCACAUGACGCCCACGCAGGCUUCCUUCCCAGCUGGUGAGUGCUGGGCUGUGGAGCCGCUCCUUACAUUUCUUAGGGCUCUUGCUCUGAGCACGGCCCUUCUGAAAACGGCUUAUGUAAGCUCACAAUGAAAUAAAUCAUAUUCAAAACAAA